rnacentral:rRNA from 1 species
CCCUUUGGGUGUGACUGCGUACCUUUUGUAUAAUGGGUCAGCGACUUAUAUUCUGUAGCAAGGUUAACCGAAUAGGGGAGCCGGAGGGAAACCGAGUCUUAAUUGGGCGUUAAGUUGCAGGGUAUAGACCCGAAACCCGGUGAUCUAGCCAUGGGCAGGUUGAAGGUUGGGUAACACUAACUGGAGGACCGAACCGACUAAUGUUGAAAAAUUAGCGGAUGACCUGUGGCUGGGGGUGAAAGGCCAAUCAAACCGGGAGAUAGCUGGUUCUCCCCGAAAGCUAUUUAGGUAGCGCCUCGUGAAUUCAUCUCCGGGGGUAGAGCACUGUUUCGGCUAGGGGGCCAUCCCGGCUUACCAACCCGAUGCAAACUGCGAAUACCGGAGAAUGUUAUCACGGGAGACACACGGCGGGUGCUAACGUCCGUCGUGAAGAGGGAAACAACCCAGACCGCCAGCUAAGGUCCCAAAGUCAUGGUUAAGUGGGAAACGAUGUGGGAAGGCCCAGACAGCCAGGAUGUUGGCUUAGAAGCAGCCAUCAUUUAAAGAAAGCGUAAUAGCUCACUGGUCGAGUCGGCCUGCGCGGAAGAUGUAACGGGGCUAAACCAUGCACCGAAGCUGCGGCAGCGACGCUUAUGCGUUGUUGGGUAGGGGAGCGUUCUGUAAGCCUGUGAAGGUGUGUCGUGAGGCAUGCUGGAGGUAUCAGAAGUGCGAAUGCUGACAUAAGUAACGAUAAAGCGGGUGAAAAGCCCGCUCGCCGGAAGACCAAGGGUUCCUGUCCAACGUUAAUCGGGGCAGGGUGAGUCGACCCCUAAGGCGAGGCCGAAAGGCGUAGUCGAUGGGAAACGGGUUAAUAUUCCCGUACUUGGUGUUACUGCGAAGGGGGGACGGAGAAGGCUAUGUUGGCCGGGCGACGGUUGUCCCGGUUUAAGCGUGUAGGUGUGUGUUCCAGGUAAAUCCGGUUCACUUUAACACUGAGGCGUGACGACGAGGCACUACGGUGCUGAAGCAACAAAUGCCCUGCUUCCAGGAAAAGCCUCUAAGCAUCAGGUAACAUCAAAUCGUACCCCAAACCGACACAGGUGGUCAGGUAGAGAAUACCAAGGCGCUUGAGAGAACUCGGGUGAAGGAACUAGGCAAAAUGGUGCCGUAACUUCGGGAGAAGGCACGCUGACACGUAGGUGAAGUGAUUUACUCAUGGAGCUGAAGUCAGUCGAAGAUACCAGCUGGCUGCAACUGUUUAUUAAAAACACAGCACUGUGCAAACACGAAAGUGGACGUAUACGGUGUGACGCCUGCCCGGUGCCGGAAGGUUAAUUGAUGGGGUCAGCGCAAGCGAAGCUCCUGAUCGAAGCCCCGGUAAACGGCGGCCGUAACUAUAACGGUCCUAAGGUAGCGAAAUUCCUUGUCGGGUAAGUUCCGACCUGCACGAAUGGCGUAAUGAUGGCCAGGCUGUCUCCACCCGAGACUCAGUGAAAUUGAACUCGCUGUGAAGAUGCAGUGUACCCGCGGCAAGACGGAAAGACCCCGUGAACCUUUACUAUAGCUUGACACUGAACAUUGAGCCUUGAUGUGUAGGAUAGGUGGGAGGCUUUGAAGUGUGGACGCCAGUCUGCAUGGAGCCGACCUUGAAAUACCACCCUUUAAUGUUUGAUGUUCUAACGUGGACCCGUUACCCGGGUUGCGGACAGUGUCUGGUGGGUAGUUUGACUGGGGCGGUCUCCUCCUAAAGAGUAACGGAGGAGCACGAAGGUUGGCUAAUCCUGGUCGGACAUCAGGAGGUUAGUGCAAUGGCAUAAGCCAGCUUGACUGCGAGCGUGACGGCGCGAGCAGGUGCGAAAGCAGGUCAUAGUGAUCCGGUGGUUCUGAAUGGAAGGGCCAUCGCUCAACGGAUAAAAGGUACUCCGGGGAUAACAGGCUGAUACCGCCCAAGAGUUCAUAUCGACGGCGGUGUUUGGCACCUCGAUGUCGGCUCAUCACAUCCUGGGGCUGAAGUAGGUCCCAAGGGUAUGGCUGUUCGCCAUUUAAAGUGGUACGCGAGCUGGGUUUAGAACGUCGUGAGACAGUUCGGUCCCUAUCUGCCGUGGGCGCUGGAGAACUGAGGGGGGCUGCUCCUAGUACGAGAGGACCGGAGUGGACGCAUCACUGGUGUUCGGGUUGUCAUGCCAAUGGCACUGCCCGGUAGCUAAAUGCGGAAGAGAUAAGUGCUGAAAGCAUCUAAGCACGAAACUUGCCCCGAG